UUAAGCGACUAAGCGUACACGGUGGAUGCCCUGGCAGUCAGAGGCGAUGAAGGACGUGCUAAUCUGCGAUAAGCGUCGGUAAGGUGAUAUGAACCGUUAUAACCGGCGAUUUCCGAAUGGGGAAACCCAGUGUGUUUCGACACACUAUCAUUAACUGAAUCCAUAGGUUAAUGAGGCGAACCGGGGGAACUGAAACAUCUAAGUACCCCGAGGAAAAGAAAUCAACCGAGAUUCCCCCAGUAGCGGCGAGCGAACGGGGAGCAGCCCAGAGCCUGAAUCAGUGUGUGUGUUAGUGGAAGCGUCUGGAAAGGCGCGCGAUACAGGGUGACAGCCCCGUACACAAAAAUGCACAUGCUGUGAGCUCGAUGAGUAGGGCGGGACACGUGGUAUCCUGUCUGAAUAUGGGGGGACCAUCCUCCAAGGCUAAAUACUCCUGACUGACCGAUAGUGAACCAGUACCGUGAGGGAAAGGCGAAAAGAACCCCGGCGAGGGGAGUGAAAAAGAACCUGAAACCGUGUACGUACAAGCAGUGGGAGCACGCUUAGGCGUGUGACUGCGUACCUUUUGUAUAAUGGGUCAGCGACUUAUAUUCUGUAGCAAGGUUAACCGAAUAGGGGAGCCGAAGGGAAACCGAGUCUUAACUGGGCGUUAAGUUGCAGGGUAUAGACCCGAAACCCGGUGAUCUAGCCAUGGGCAGGUUGAAGGUUGGGUAACACUAACUGGAGGACCGAACCGACUAAUGUUGAAAAAUUAGCGGAUGACUUGUGGCUGGGGGUGAAAGGCCAAUCAAACCGGGAGAUAGCUGGUUCUCCCCGAAAGCUAUUUAGGUAGCGCCUCGUGAAUUCAUCUCCGGGGGUAGAGCACUGUUUCGGCAAGGGGGUCAUCCCGACUUACCAACCCGAUGCAAACUGCGAAUACCGGAGAAUGUUAUCACGGGAGACACACGGCGGGUGCUAACGUCCGUCGUGAAGAGGGAAACAACCCAGACCGCCAGCUAAGGUCCCAAAGUCAUGGUUAAGUGGGAAACGAUGUGGGAAGGCCCAGACAGCCAGGAUGUUGGCUUAGAAGCAGCCAUCAUUUAAAGAAAGCGUAAUAGCUCACUGGUCGAGUCGGCCUGCGCGGAAGAUGUAACGGGGCUAAACCAUGCACCGAAGCUGCGGCAGCGACGCUUAUGCGUUGUUGGGUAGGGGAGCGUUCUGUAAGCCUGCGAAGGUGUGCUGUGAGGCAUGCUGGAGGUAUCAGAAGUGCGAAUGCUGACAUAAGUAACGAUAAAGCGGGUGAAAAGCCCGCUCGCCGGAAGACCAAGGGUUCCUGUCCAACGUUAAUCGGGGCAGGGUGAGUCGACCCCUAAGGCGAGGCCGAAAGGCGUAGUCGAUGGGAAACAGGUUAAUAUUCCUGUACUUGGUGUUACUGCGAAGGGGGGACGGAGAAGGCUAUGUUGGCCGGGCGACGGUUGUCCCGGUUUAAGCGUGUAGGCUGGUUUUCCAGGCAAAUCCGGAAAAUCAAGGCUGAGGCGUGAUGACGAGGCACUACGGUGCUGAAGCAACAAAUGCCCUGCUUCCAGGAAAAGCCUCUAAGCAUCAGGUAACAUCAAAUCGUACCCCAAACCGACACAGGUGGUCAGGUAGAGAAUACCAAGGCGCUUGAGAGAACUCGGGUGAAGGAACUAGGCAAAAUGGUGCCGUAACUUCGGGAGAAGGCACGCUGAUAUGUAGGUGAAGCGACUUGCUCGUGGAGCUGAAAUCAGUCGAAGAUACCAGCUGGCUGCAACUGUUUAUUAAAAACACAGCACUGUGCAAACACGAAAGUGGACGUAUACGGUGUGACGCCUGCCCGGUGCCGGAAGGUUAAUUGAUGGGGUUAGCGCAAGCGAAGCUCUUGAUCGAAGCCCCGGUAAACGGCGGCCGUAACUAUAACGGUCCUAAGGUAGCGAAAUUCCUUGUCGGGUAAGUUCCGACCUGCACGAAUGGCGUAAUGAUGGCCAGGCUGUCUCCACCCGAGACUCAGUGAAAUUGAACUCGCUGUGAAGAUGCAGUGUACCCGCGGCAAGACGGAAAGACCCCGUGAACCUUUACUAUAGCUUGACACUGAACAUUGAGCCUUGAUGUGUAGGAUAGGUGGGAGGCUUUGAAGUGUGGACGCCAGUCUGCAUGGAGCCGACCUUGAAAUACCACCCUUUAAUGUUUGAUGUUCUAACGUUGACCCGUAAUCCGGGUUGCGGACAGUGUCUGGUGGGUAGUUUGACUGGGGCGGUCUCCUCCUAAAGAGUAACGGAGGAGCACGAAGGUUGGCUAAUCCUGGUCGGACAUCAGGAGGUUAGUGCAAUGGCAUAAGCCAGCUUGACUGCGAGCGUGACGGCGCGAGCAGGUGCGAAAGCAGGUCAUAGUGAUCCGGUGGUUCUGAAUGGAAGGGCCAUCGCUCAACGGAUAAAAGGUACUCCGGGGAUAACAGGCUGAUACCGCCCAAGAGUUCAUAUCGACGGCGGUGUUUGGCACCUCGAUGUCGGCUCAUCACAUCCUGGGGCUGAAGUAGGUCCCAAGGGUAUGGCUGUUCGCCAUUUAAAGUGGUACGCGAGCUGGGUUUAGAACGUCGUGAGACAGUUCGGUCCCUAUCUGCCGUGGGCGCUGGAGAACUGAGGGGGGCUGCUCCUAGUACGAGAGGACCGGAGUGGACGCAUCACUGGUGUUCGGGUUGUCAUGCCAAUGGCACUGCCCGGUAGCUAAAUGCGGAAGAGAUAAGUGCUGAAAGCAUCUAAGCACGAAACUUGCCCCGAGAUGAGUUCUCCCUGACUCCUUGAGAGUCCUGAAGGAACGUUGAAGACGACGACGUUGAUAGGCCGGGUGUGUAAGCGCAGCGAUGCGUUGAGCUAACCGGUACUAAUGAACCGUGAGGCUUAACCUU
rnacentral:rRNA from 7 species